GGCUACGUAGCUCAGUUGGUUAGAGCACAUCACGGUCACAGGUUCGAAUCCCGUCGUAGCCACCA
rnacentral:tRNA from 1 species